rnacentral:lncRNA from 1 species
AGAGGAUUGCUCUAUUGUACUAGUUAUAUAUUAUGUGAUUAAUGAAAGUUUGUUUAUUUGAGUGAAAAGUAAUGUUCUAUCACAACUUCUACCCCUCGGAGGAAACCGGAGGGGAAAGGGAGGGAAUCGCUCGUCAAUGGCAGGAAGCGAGGAUGAAGUCUAAGAAAUUUACAAUUCUGACCAGUAGACACCAUUCCUUCAUUCCCCACCUAUCCAUAAUGCAAAGAAAAAAAUGAAUUCCAGUGGAAUCAAGGCUAGAGAGAAUAGGAUAAGGAUAGAUGGCCAAGGCCACAUGAGCCCUGGCCAUCUAGCACGGCUGGAGAGAAUAACAAUAUAAACACAAAAGUAUACUUUAGCCCCCAUUUGAUGGUUAUUAUUGUGUAAAAAUGAUGUUUUGAUUAGUGAUGUUUUGGAGAAUGUGUGGUCAAAAAGUGAAAAAAAUUUGGAUUUACAUGCAAAGUAUUUUAUUGUGUGAACAUGUGGUUAAAAAUAAGUGUGAGAAAUAAAUUGUUUUGUUUCAAUGGAAGUCAAACAGGGACUUAGUCAUGGAGAACACAUCAUUAAGAACAAAUCCAGAAGUAAAGAUUGUUGCUAUCUAGAGAG